GCGGGAAUAGCUCAGUUGGUAGAGCACGACCUUGCCAAGGUCGGGGUCGCGAGUUCGAGUUUUUCUUCCAUCU
rnacentral:tRNA from 1 species